UACAGAGGUCUCAAGCGUUGUUCGGAUUCAUUGGGCGUAAAGGGUGUGUAGGUGGCGCGCUAAGUCGGGUGUGAAAUUUCGGAGCUUAACUCCGAAACUGCAUUCGAUACUGGCGUGCUUGAGGACUGGAGAGGAGACUGGAAUUCAUGGUGUAGCAGUGAAAUGCGCAGAUAUCAGGAGGAACACCGGUGGCGAAGGCGGGUCUCUGGGCCGAUACUGACACUGAGAAGCGAAAGCGUGGGGAGCGAACAGG
rnacentral:rRNA from 1 species